GUCUGUCAAAUGGAGUGAUAUGAGGAACAGAGUCUGUGAUCUUCCACCCAAGCAAGAGCUUGUAAGACAUCUUUAUACUGUUCUUCAGAAUAUUACAUUGCUUGACACUCCCCCAAAGAAUGUCACGCUGGUUCACUGUAUUACCACCAUUAGACUCACCGGAUGUGCUGACCUGGAGUGGGUAUGUACUGUUAUU